rnacentral:rRNA from 1 species
UUAAUUGAAGAGUUUGAUCAUGGCUCAGAUUGAACGCUGGCGGCAGGCCUAACACAUGCAAGUCGAGCGGUAACAUUUCAAAAGCUUGCUUUUGAAGAUGACGAGCGGCGGACGGGUGAGUAAUGCCUGGGAAUUUGCCCAUUUGUGGGGGAUAACAGUUGGAAACGACUGCUAAUACCGCAUACGCCCUACGGGGGAAAGCAGGGGACCUUCGGGCCUUGCGCUGAUG